AGACAAGAUGGAAUUCAACUUAUGAGAUGUUGAGAACAGCAAUUGCUUUUAAAGAAGUUUUUUCAAGAUUUAAAGAUCGAGAACCUAGCUAUAUUCAUUGUCCAACAGAAGAUGAUUGGGAGAAAUUGCAUAAAGUAUUUUCAAUUUUGAAAGUAUUCUAUGAAGCAACCAAAAUUAUUUCUGGAAGUGAAUAUCCUACUGCCAAUCUUUUUCUAAAUGAAGUCUAUCGAGUAAAAGUAAUCUUGGAUGAGAAAUCUUGUGAUGAAGAAGAGUUUAUUAGAAAAAUGGUGCAAAAAAUGAAGGAAAAGUUUGAUAAAUAUUGGGGUGAAUGCAAUUUAUUAAUGGCUGUUGGUUCAGUUUUGGAUCCAAGAUGCAAAAUGCGAGUACUUGAAUUCACUUUUCCUAAACUUUAUAACUCAUUUGAAGCAGAAAGUAAUAUUAAAGAGGUCCAAAGGCUUUUGUAUGCAAUUUAUAAGGAAUAUUCAGAUACUGCUAUUGAAAAGCUUCAAGGAUCAAAAAGCAACUCUGAAUCUCAAGAUAGCAACACUGUAAUUCAAAGUAAUAGAGAACAUACUACGUUUUCUUCUGGAUGGACUGAAUUCUCUUCUUAUUUAAAAGAAAUUGAAAUGGUACAACCUGAAAAAUCUGAGUUGGAUGUGUAUCUAGAGGAAGGGUGUCAUAGGCAUAAUCCAAAUGAUGCAUUCGAUGCUCUUGGUUGGUGAAAGCUCAAUACAUACAAAUUUCCAGUGUUGUCAACUUUGGCUAGAGAUAUAUUAGCAAUACCCAUUUCUACAAUAGCUUCAGAGGCAACUUUUAGUGUUGGAGGUCGUGUUAUUGACAAGUAUCGUGCUUCUUUAGCUCCUACAACAGUAGAAAUGUUGAUGUGCGGUGGAGAUUGGUGUCGAAAGCGACAUGGAGUGACUAAAAAGUCUAAGGUUGAAAAACAACAUUUGACAAUUGAUUUACCUAUAAAUAAAGUUGAUAAUUAGAAGUUGAAUGGUUAUGUCACGGAUUGAGAUUGAAAAGAUGGAAGCCUGGAAUCGUGGAAGUGAACUUUGGAUGCAGUAAGAGGAAUGGAGAGCUUCUGGAAUGACAAAAGGAUGAAGAGCUUUGGAAUAGAAGCAUGAAUGUGUAGCUUUGGAAUGUAGUGGAAAUGGAGAUCUUCUGGAGUCUGGAUUUGGGAGUUUGGGAUGCAUCAAGAGGAGGCUUCGUAAUUAAUUGUUUUUUGGCCAUUAAUCUCAUUUUAACUCAACUUUGUAUGUGUUGAGUUGAACUUCUAUUUUGUCUAUGUUAUGAGCUUCUGGAGUGGGACUUGAGAAUUUGGAUUUGAUGUGUAUCAUGAU